GCGUCCGUAGCUCAGCUGGAUAGAGCGCCGGACUUCGAAUCCGUAGGUCGCACGUUCGAAUCGUGCCGGACGCG
rnacentral:tRNA from 1 species